rnacentral:misc_RNA from 1 species
CGCACAUUGCGCCCCUUGGUAUUCCGAGGGGCAUGCCUGUUCGAGCGUCAUUACAACCCUCAAGCACUGCUUGGUAUUGGGCUCCGCUGGUUUCAGCGGGCCUUAAAAUCAGUGGCAGCGCCGUCUGAGCUCUGAGCGUAGUAAAUAUCCUCGCUAUAGAGACCAGGUGGUUCUCGUCAUCAACCCCCAACUUUCUAAGUUUGACCUCGGAUCAGGUAGGGAUACCCGCUGAACUUAA